GACGAACGCUGGCGGCGUGCUUAACACAUGCAAGUCGAACGGAAAGGCCCCUUUUGGGUGGUACACUCGAGGCGCACAGGGGAGUAACACGCGAGUAACCUCCGCUCGACACUUCGAUAACUGCCUGAAACUGUGGGUAUUAUCGCAGAGGAGCCCCUGCUGCGUGGUGGGGGUUGGAAAGUUUCGGCGGUGGGGGAUGGACUCGCGGCCUAUCAGCUUGUUGGUGGGGUAGUGGCUUACCAAGGCUUUGACGGGUAGCCGGCCUGAGAGGGUGACCGGCCACAUUGGGACUGAGAUACGGCCCAGACUCCUACGGGAGGCAGCAGUGGGGAAUAUUGCACAAUGGGUGGAAGCCUGAUGCAGCAACGCCGUGUGCGGGAUGACGGCCUUCGGGUUGUAAACCGCUUUCGCUCAUGACGAAGCUUUGUGUGACGGUAGUGGGUAAAGAAGCACCGGCUAACUACGUG
rnacentral:rRNA from 1 species